GAUGAACGCUGGCGGCGUGCUUAACACAUGCAAGUCGAACGGAUCUUAGGGAGGCGGAGGCUUCGGCCAAAGCGCCUUAAGGUUAGUGGCGGACGGGUGAGUAACGCGUGGAGAACCUGCCCUGUACUGGGGGAUAACAGUGGGAAACCACUGCUAAUACCGCAUAAGCGCACGAGGCCGCAUGGCCCUGUGUGAAAAACUCCGGUGGUACAGGAUGGCUCCGCGUUGGAUUAGCUGGUUGGCGGGGCAACGGCCCACCAAGGCGACGAUCCAUAGCCGGCCUGAGAGGGUGGACGGCCACAUUGGGACUGAGACACGGCCCAGACUCC
rnacentral:rRNA from 1 species